AUUGAACGCUGGCGGCAGGCUUAACACAUGCAAGUCGAACGGAGUGGCGGACGGGUGAGUAAUGCUUGGGAAUCUGGCUUAUGGAGGGGGAUAACGACGGGAAACUGUCGCUAAUACCGCGUAACAUAGGAUGAGCCCAAGUGGGAUUAGGUAGUUGGUGGGGUAAAGGCCUACCAAGGCGACGAUCCGUAACUGGUCUGAGAGGAUGAUCAGUCAAACUGGAACUUGGACACGGUCCAGACUCCUCCGGGAGGCAGCAGGGGGGAAUAUUGGACAAUGGGCGAAAGCCUGAUCCAGCCAUGCCGCGUGUGUGAAGAAGGUCUUCGGAUUGUAAAGCACUUUAAGUUGGGAGGCGUUACCAACAGAAUAAGCACCGGCUAACUUCGUGCCAGCAGCCGCGGAAUAC
rnacentral:rRNA from 1 species